AGCAGCCGCGGUAAUUCCAGCUCCAAUAGCGUAUAUUAAAGUUGUUGCAGUUAAAAAGCUCGUAGUUGAAUUUCGGGAUUAGUACGCUGGUCGUGCCUUCGGUAUGUACUGGUGUUACUGGUUCCUACCUUCUGACGAACCGUCAUGUCAUUAAUUUGGUGUGGCGGGGAAUCAGGACUGUUACUUUGAAAAAAUUAGAGUGUUUAAAGCAGGCUCGCGCUUGAAUACAUUAGCAUGGAAUAAUGAAAUAGGACGUUCGAUCCUAUUUUGUUGGUUUCUAGGAUUGACGUAAUGAUUAAUAGGGAUAGUUGGGGGCAUUAGUAUUCAAUUGUCAGAGGUGAAAUUCUUGGAUUUAUUGAAGACUAACUACUGCGAAAGCAUUUGCCAAGGAUGUUUUCAUUAAUCAAGAACGAAAGUUAGGGGAUCGAAGACGAUCAGAUACCGUCGUAG
rnacentral:rRNA from 1 species